rnacentral:rRNA from 1 species
AUUGAACGCUGGCGGCAGGCCUAACACAUGCAAGUCGAACGGUAACAGGAAGAAGCUUGCUUCUUUGCUGACGAGUGGCGGACGGGUGAGUAAUGUCUGGGAAACUGCCUGAUGGAGGGGGAUAACUACUGGAAACGGUAUCUAAUACCGCAUAACGUCGCAAGACCAAAGAGGGUGAGCUUCGGGCCUCUUGCCAUCGGAUGUGCCCAGAUGGGGUUAGCUAGUAGGUGGGGUAACGGCUCACCUAGGCGACGAUCCCUAGCUGGUCUGAGAGUAUGACCAGCCACACUGGAACUGAGACACGGUCCAGACUCCUACGGGAGGCAGCAGUGGGGAAUAUUGCACAAUGGGCGCAAGCCUGAUGCAGCCAUGCCGCGUGUAUGAAGAAGGCCUUCGGGUUGUAAAGUACUUUCAGCGGGGAGGAAGGGAGUAAAGUUAAUACCUUUACUCAUUGACGUUACCCGCAGAAGAAGCACCGGCUAACUCCGUG